rnacentral:rRNA from 1 species
CCUACGGGUGGCAGCAGUGAGGAAUAUUGGUCAUUGGACGAAAGUCUGAUCCAGCCAUGCCGCGUGCAUGAAGACGGCCUUAUGAGUUUUAAAUUGCUUCUGUACAAGGGUAAACCUGAAUAUGUGUAUUCUGCUGAAUGUACUGUACGCAUAAGGAACGGCUAACUCCGUGCCAGCAGCCGCGGCAAUACGGAGGAUCCAAGCGUUGUCCGGAUUUAUUGGGUUUAAAGGGUGCGUAGGCGGGUUGAUAAGUUAGAUGUGAAAUGUCCGGGCUCAACUCGGGAACUGCCUCUAAUACUGUUGAUCUAGAGAGUAGAUGCGGUAGGCGGAAUGUAUGGUGUAGCGGUGAAAUGCUUAGAGAUCAUACAGAACACCGAUGGCGAAGGCAGCUUACCAAUCUAUAACUGACGUUGAGGCACGAAAGCGUGGGGAGCAAACAGGAUUAGAUACCCGGGUAGUC